rnacentral:rRNA from 1 species
AGUUACUCAAUUCAAGCGUUACAGUGCAAAAGGUGGUUAGACAGCCCUCCCUGUUAUUUAAGGGGUAAAUUAGGAAAAAAGAGGAUCGAUCCGGGAAGGGUAGGGGUGCAAUCCGGUUAACCCUCCUGAGGAAAGGGGUGAUUUCUUCUUUAGGCUGAGGCCACGGAACCGGGGAACCGAAGACAUGGAUUUGAGACCCAUUUAUUACCGACGCAAACUUUGCUUUAGGGCAGCUGCUUGGGGACUACGAGCGUGUGCUUAAAACUCAAAGAACUUGGCGGCAAGUUAACUACCUAGGGGAAUAUGCGUCUUAAUCCGAUGAUCCACGUGGAAUCUUACUGUACCUUGAAAAAGAGCAGCCGGUGUAUUGCCGUCGUCAGCUUGUUGUUCAAGCAAGGAGAAACAAGCUUAAUGGAGCUGGCGAUGUUAAUCGACAGGGUCCGUAAAGUCAGGUCGAAAUACUGCCUAUGGUACAAGGGAGCGGGUAUUACAAUUCAAAUUUCGAAAUACGGAGCUUGGAAGAAAUGUGAAACCUCCAGGUGAAGGUGGACUUAGGAGUAAGGGAAGAUUAAUAUGCUCCCCUGAACAUGAAACUAGCUUGUGUACAAACCGCCCGUCGCUCUCGCCGGAAGGUGAGA